AGGAAAGUUCAUGCAACAGAUGAUGAAUAACAGCUUUGAGUUGCCCAAAUUUGCAUGUAAAGAUAAAUUUUUGACCGAGAAGGUAUAUGAUACACCUAGCAACAGAUUGAGAAAAUACAAGCGCUCUGCAUCUUUCAAUUCAAGAAGAAUUGUUCUCCUUUUCUCAGUCAUGUCGUGCAUGGGGACGAUCGUUCUCAUUUAUCUUACUCUAAGAGUUAGAAUGAGUGGUGAUUGGGCUGCUAAUGUUUAGAAUCUACUUCUCGUCCAUCGUUUGUGAAAUGAGUUCUCUUUCUUGCUUGUAUUUA
rnacentral:misc_RNA from 1 species